UACGUAGAAAAAUACAGAGAUUAUGAUUCUGAAAAAAAAAUUCUGUAAAAUUUUAAUUUUUCAAAAAAAAAAAAAAUUAAAAUAAACACCCCUCUCCUUCAUCCUAUGACAAGAAAUGAAAUUAAAGUGUUUUCUCUACUGUUUCAUGACGAACAUAACCCAACAUGUUGUGGUUGAGGGUCUUUUGGAAUUAAGAGAGGCAUGAAAAAAUUAGAUUUUUUGCACACACAAACACAACAAAAUGACGUUUAAACAAUUUUUUUUUUCUCUUUUGGUAAUUCGUAUUUAGAAAGUUGAUCCUCGAUUUUUUUUUGCAGAUUCGGAAUCUCCGCCCUCGAUAUAGUGUGUUCGUGUA